GAUGAACGCUGGCGGCGUGCUUAACACAUGCAAGUCGAACGAGAAAGAGGUUGCUUGCAACCUCGAGUAGAGUGGCGCACGGGUGAGUAACACGUAGAUAAUCUACCUUCAAAUCCGGGAUAACUGUUCGAAAGGGCAGCUAAUACCGAAUAAAGCUGGCUUACACAGGUAAGUCAUUGAAAGAUUGCCUCUUCCUGAAAGCAAUUGUUUGGAGAUGAGUCUGCGGACCAUUAGUUUGUUGGUGGGGUAACGGCCUACCAAGACUGCGAUGGUUAGCUGGUCUGAGAGGGAUGAUCAGUCACACUGGAACUGGAACACGGUCCAGACUCUACGGGAGGCAGCAGUGAGGAAUUUUGCGCAAUGGGGGCAACCCUGACGCAGCAACGCCGCGUGAGUGAAG
rnacentral:rRNA from 1 species